GUGCUCGCUUCAGCAGCACAUAUACUAAAAUUGGAAUGAUACAGAGAAGGUUAGCAUAGUUCUUACGCAAGGAUGACAUGCAAAUCUGUGAAGCGUUCCAUAUAAAA
rnacentral:snRNA from 1 species